rnacentral:tRNA from 1 species
ACAUUGGUGACUCAAUGGUAGAAAUCUCUCCUUCCAUGUGGGAGAUCCAGGUUCGAUUUCUGGCCAAUGCA